rnacentral:sRNA from 1 species
AAUUUGGAAGCCCAAGGUGGGUGGAUCGCUUGAGCCCAGGAGUUCAAGACCAGCCUGGGCAACAUGAUGCUGAAGAAUACCAGCCUCCAAUAUGGAAAUCAUACUUAUAUCAGUUACAGCAAGAGGCACCUCGUCCCAAGAGAAUCAUUUGUCCUCGGGAGAAAUUUAACAGCAGCAUUAGUUUUGCCUUGAUUUGAUUUGAUUCUAUUGGGUACUUCAAGCUCUUUGGGCUUAAAAGGUGGAAAACAGACCAAAAUAUUAUGGAAGAGAGUUUCACGGGAUCAUCUCCCGGGAGCAGGCGGAUGAGCUUCUUGGAGGCGUGGAGGGUGCCUACAUCCUUAGAGAAAGCCAGCGGCAACCAGGAUGCUACACGCUGGCUCUGAGGUUUGGAAACCAGACCUUAAACUACAGGCUCUUCCAUGACGGGAAACACUUUGUGGGUGAGAAGAGGUUUGAGUC